GCGAAAAACCAAGAAUAAUGCUUAUUUGGGCCCUUUUUUUGGCCCCUAAUUCCUAAACUGUUGGAACCAAAACUCCCAAAAUCAAUCCCAACCUUUCUUUUGUGGUCAUAAACCUUGUGUCAAAAUUUCAUAGAUUUCUAUUCACUUAAACUAAAGUUAUAGUGCGAAAACCAAGAAAAUGCUUAUUUGGGCCCUUUUUGGCCCCUAAUU
rnacentral:lncRNA from 1 species